rnacentral:rRNA from 1 species
AGUACAGGAGAGGAAAGCGGAAUUCCUAGUGUAGCGGUGAAAUGCGUAGAUAUUAGGAAGAACACCAGUGGCGAAGGCGGCUUUCUGGACUGAAACUGACGCUGAGGCUCGAAAGCGUGGGGAGCAAACAGGAUUAGAUACCCUGGUAGUCCACGCCGUAAACGAUGAGUGCUAGGUGUCGGGGAGGAAUCCUCGGUGCCGCAGCUAACGCAAUAAGCACUCCACCUGGGGAGUACGACCGCAAGGUUGAAACUCAAAGGAAUUGACGGGGGCCCGCACAAGCGGUGGAGCAUGUGGUUUAAUUCGAAGCAACGCGAAGAACCUUACCAAGGCUUGACAUCCCGAUGACCGCUCUAGAGAUAGAGCUUCUCUUCGGAGCAUCGGUGACAGGUGGUGCAUGGUUGUCGUCAGCUCGUGUCGUGAGAUGUUGGGUUAAGUCCCGCAACGAGCGCAACCCUUAUCUUCAGUAGCCAUCAUUCAGUUGGGCACUCUGGAGAGACUGCCGUGGAUAACACGGAGGAAGGUGGGGAUGACGUCAAAUCAUCAUGCCCCUUAUGUCUUGGGCUACACACGUGCUACAAUGGCUGGUAACAAAGUGACGCGAAACGGCGACGUUAAGCAAAUCACAAAAACCCAGUCCCAGUUCGGAUUGUAGUCUGCAACUCGACUACAUGAAGCUGGAAUCGCUAGUAAUCGCGAAUCAGCAUGUCGCGGUGAAUACGUUCCCGGGCCUUGUACACACCGCCCGUCACACCAUGGGAGUUGGAAGCACCCGAAGUCGGUGACCUAACCGUAAGGAAGGAGCCGCCGAAGGUGAAGCCAGUGACUGGGGUGAAGUCGUAACAAGGUAACCA